rnacentral:ncRNA from 1 species
GUCGGGAGGGCGACUAAUAUAAUACCCGAGAGGGGAAUACGUCCAGCCCUACCUAUUGCGGGUUUUUCAGCCUCCCGACGCCCAGUG